GGGCACUUCCCAGCUGGAAGGGAGAGCGGCAGCAUGGCGAAGAGUCGCCAGAUGCCGGCGGUGUGGCGGGGUUGAGGGACGGUGGCGGCGGUGGGUGCGGGCGUGACGACGUGGAAGGGCCAACCAACGAAGGAGCUGUUCCCCUUUUUCUGGUGUGAGAUCCGAGAGAGAGGGAGGAGGCAGCAGAAGGGUUUUUCCGUAGCCUAACCCAUAGCAGCCCAGAAAAGAAGAGGGUUUUGGCAACAAAGGUAAAAUUGGGUGCUCUGAUACCAAAGUUGAUGCAGGAUAGUAGGAGAAAAGAGGGAGAAAGAGAGAAGAAGGAGAGGAGAGGAAGAAGAGAAGGAAGGAGGAAGAACAAGAGAAAGGAGGAGGAAGAAGAAGACAAAGAGGCUAAUUUUCAUUCAUCAUUCAUCCAUCAAAUCCUAAACAUGAGCAUGGAUCCAUAUAUAUAGGGUCACAAAAUAACAAAUAAACUCCUAUAAAUAAAAAAAUCCCAAAAAGGCCCUAAAAUGACAAUAUGCAAAUAAACCCAAUCAACAUAAAAUAAACCCAACUAAAAUAAAUCAAUUUAAAAUAAAAUCAGGCUGGCUAAAUUGGCUGGGAUUUACUGAGCUGGUUGGAUCCUGUGGCGACCGGCUAAUCUGGCACUGGUGUCCGCACCAGGUUCCCUAUGGUUUCUAUACAUUUUCAUGUGCAUUUUCUUUAAUA
rnacentral:lncRNA from 1 species